rnacentral:rRNA from 1 species
UACGUAGGGUGCAAGCGUUGUCCGGAAUUAUUGGGCGUAAAGAGUUCGUAGGCGGUCUGUCGCGUCGGAUGUGAAAGCUCAGGGCUCAACCCUGAGUCUGCAUCCGAUACGGGCAGACUAGAGUCAGGUAGGGGAGAACGGAAUUCCUGGUGUAGCGGUGAAAUGCGCAGAUAUCAGGAGGAACACCGGUGGCGAAGGCGGUUCUCUGGGCCUGUACUGACGCUGAGGAACGAAAGCGUGGGGAGCGAACAGGAUUAGAAACCCCCGUAGUCC